rfam:Myotis lucifugus cont2.47333, whole genome shotgun sequence.
GGUGGUUCUAGGGUGACACACCCCAGAAUCGGGGUCCCUCCUCUCUGGUUCUGGUUGUGUCACCUGAGAACCGCC